UAAGGAAUAUUGCUCAAUGGGAGAAAUCCUGAAGCAGCAACGCCGCGUGGAGGAUGAAGGGUCUAUGACUUGUAAACUCCUGUAAAGAAGGAAAAAAUUCCCAUUUGAUGGGAGAUGAUGGUACUUCUGGAGUAAGCCCCGGCUAACUACGUGCCAGCAGCCGCGGUAAUACGUAGGGGGCAAGCGUUGUCCGGAUUUACUGGGUGUAAAGGGUGCUCAGGCGGAUUUGUAAGUCAGAGGUGAAAUCUUACAGCUUAACUGUGAAACUGCCUUAGAUACUGCAAGCCUAGAGUAUGGAAGAGAGUUAUGGAAUAUCUGGUGUAGCAGUGAAAUGCGUAGAUAUCAGAUAGAACACCAAUGGCGAAGGCAGUCACUUGGUCCAUUACUGACGCUAAAGCACGAAAGCGUGGGUAGCAAACA
rnacentral:rRNA from 1 species